UACGUAGGGGGCAAGCGUUGUCCGGAUUUAUUGGGCGUAAAGAGCGUGUAGGCGGCCAGAUAGGUCUGUUGUGAAAACUCGAGGCUCAACCUCGAGACGCCGAUGGAAACCAUCUGGCUAGAGUCCGGAAGAGGAGAGUGGAAUUCCUGGUGUAGCGGUGAAAUGCGCAGAUAUCAGGAAGAACACCCGUGGCUAAGGCGGCUCUCUAGUACGGUGCUGACGCUGAGACGCGAAAGCGUGGGAGCGAACAGG
rnacentral:rRNA from 1 species